rnacentral:misc_RNA from 1 species
GAUGAAGAACGUAGCGAAAUGCGAUAAGUAGUGUGAAUUGCAGAAUUCAGUGAAUCAUCGAAUCUUUGAACGCACAUUGCGCCCCUUGGUAUCCCGAGGGGCAUGCCUGUUCGAGCGUCAUUUCACCACUCAAGCCUGGCUUGGUGUUGGGCGACGUCCCCUUUGGGGACGCGCCUCGAAACGCUCGGCGGCGUGGCACCGGCUUUAAGCGUAGCAGAAUCUUUCGCUUUGGAAGUCGGGGCCCCGUCUGCCGGAAGACCUACUCGCAAGGUUGACCUCGGAUCAGGCAGGGAUACCCGCUGAACCUAAGCAUAUCAAUAAGCGGAGGA